rnacentral:rRNA from 1 species
GACGGAAGGUGCAAGCGUUGCUCGGAAUCACUGGGCGUAAAGGGUGCGUAGGCGGCCGUGCAAGUCUGGCGUGAAAGCCCCGGGCUCAGCCCGGGAAGUGCGCUCGAAACUGCGCGGCUCGAGUGCCGGAGGGGAGAGUGGAAUUCCUGGUGUAGCGGUGAAAUGCGUAGAUAUCAGGAGGAACACCGGUGGCGAAGGCGGCAUCCUGGACCAACACUGACACUGAGGAGCGAAAGCCAGGGGAGCAAACGGG